rnacentral:rRNA from 1 species
GACGAACGCUGGCGGCGUGCUUAACACAUGCAAGUCGAACGGAAAGGCCCUGCUUUUGUGGGGUGCUCGAGUGGCGAACGGGUGAGUAACACGUGAGUAACCUGCCCUUGACUUUGGGAUAACUUCAGGAAACUGGGGCUAAUACCGGAUAGGAGCUCCUGCUGCAUGGUGGGGGUUGGAAAGUUUCGGCGGUUGGGGAUGGACUCGCGGCUUAUCAGCUUGUUGGUGGGGUAGUGGCUUACCAAGGCUUUGACGGGUAGCCGGCCUGAGAGGGUGACCGGCCACAUUGGGCCUGAGAUACGGCCCAGACUCCUACGGGAGGCAGCAGUGGGGAAUAUUGCACAAUGGGCGGAAGCCUGAUGCAGCAACGCCGCGUGCGGAUGACGGCCUUCGGGUUGUAAACCGCUUUCGCCUGUGACGAAGCGUGAGUGACGGUAAUGGGUAAAGAAGCACCGGCUAACUACGUG